CAAAUAUUCAGUCUCUGGUAGGCCCCGUAGCAGGCCAAGUGAUGUUUCUCAAAAGUAGAUUAGACAUCUGCAGGUGAUAACAAGACCAUGCUCUAACAUCUUAAAACCCUGUCCUCUGCUUUCCAUAUUGGGACUGCCAAAGGCCCCAAAGAAAAUUUCUAUCUGCCUAUGAAACAUCUAAAAGAUUGAGUCCACCACAAUAUAUGGCCCAAGUGGCAGAGCAGCUUGCACAGCUGUCUGGAAUUGUUGCGGUGCCUUCUCUCAUUCUCUACAGACAAGAAUGCUCCAUCAUGAAACAUUGAGAACCAAAACUUUUCUUUUCCUGAAGUUCUACAAGUUGAAGCUGGAUGAUUUGAUAUAAACCUCAAGGCAAUCACCAUAGCAGAUCAUGUAUAGACAAAAUUUGCACCUGUGCUGUGUGGGUCACUCAGAAAGUUCACUGGAAGAGCUGAUGCCAUUACCACAGAUACUCAAACUGCAAACCAGGAAUCAAUUGGAUUGCCACUGCUGUCCUCACUCCAUCAUCUACUGAUGCAUUGAGACUAAUGUCUAGGAAUCUUCUCUAAAGCUGCACUCUGGAAUCAGAAACUUUUUUUUCAUAUUAACCUUUGUUUUUCUGUUAUUUUCAUAG
rnacentral:lncRNA from 1 species